GCAUUUUUAACAUCUCUAUAUUUAUCACUUAUUGAAUUUAACAAAAUCACAGCCAACUGAUCUUUUGAAAGUUUCUGAUCACAAUCGGCUAGGUCACGGGAUAAUCUGUUGAAUCUAUCAAUAUUUGCCUCAAGAUCAAGAGAUAUGUCCAAUUUGAAACCAAAAAAUUGUUUUAGAGGUUACACUUUAUUAGGCAUGGUUUUAUUCAAAUAAGUAUCUUCUAAUUUCUUCCACAACUCAGCAACAGUUCUUGUCUCACCAAUCUCUCUUAACACACUAUCAGACAAAUGCAAGAAUAGAAAACUCCAUGCAAUUUCAUCAAGUUCAGUUUUCUCCAUUUCUUCCAUAUCAUCAGGCAAUGACACAUCAAUGGCUUUUGCACAUUUUUGUUGAAGUAAAAGAGCUCGCAUUUUCUGGCGCUAGAGACUAAAAUCUCCUUUACCAUUAAAGAUUUUCAAUUCAACUUUAGUUGACAUAAUCAAAACACAAUUUGAUUUUUGACAGUGCAGGCAGAUCACAUAAGUUUUGAACAAUAUCUACAACAUUUGAUUAUUAUUAUGAGAAUUAAUCCUAGCAGUAUCUUAAAUGUCAUACACAAUAAUCAAUAUAAAGUGUACAACCAGCAAGUUGUAUGUCACAAAUUAUUCAACAGUAACACUCAGCAGUUCAUUCAAUUUCCAAAUAAGCAGUUUACUCAAAAAACAACAAAUUAUCAAUUCACAGUAAUAUAAUGACAGCAUCCUUUAUACAUUUUAUUCAUGAUACUUGCAAGAAUCAUAAAAAGAAUAUUAAACCAUUGACCUUUACUCGAGAUAGCCCUCAGAUUCCAAACAAAUCACGGUUUCUGGACUAAGGCACUAUUAAGAAGUCUUCGAUUUAUUAAUUUUUACCACAAUUGCAAGGGUCACAGGAUAUAGUCAGGUAAGGUAUACUAUAACUUGAAGAUAAAUGAAACGAACUCACCAAAAAACCCUUAUUAGGGUUUUAAGGAGCAAUCGAAAUUUACUGAACCAGUUCGAAUACUCUUCGAAUCUGUCGACACUAGUACCAAAAACCCCCGUCACGAGCUCUAAUACCACUUUAACACGAAGUUCACAAAAAAACAGCGAGUUUAAUCAACAAAAAUACCGAAACUAAUAAACGUAAAAAAUGGAAAAUGGAAAGAAAUCGCAGAAAAAUAAAAGAUGAACACAGGAUUUUUCGUCCUAAGGCAAGAGGUUCGGAACAUCAUUCCUAAUCCCUUUUUGAGCUUUCGUCAAACAGGAAGAAAUCACUAUAUCAACGAAUCAAUGAAGCUAUCCAGAUUGUACAUCUCGUAGCACUCAGAAUAUCACUCAAGAUUAUUCAACAUAAGUCUCACUAAUCGAUACAGCCAUUCACUCAAGAAUAAAUGAAGAUAAUCUAUACAAAUCACUCAAGAUUAUACAAUUUUGGGGCUCAUAUCGAAGGAAGCUUUCUUGGACAGAUUCUUUAGAUCGAAAGAAAGAGAAUCAUCUCUUGAGAGAGAUGAAGCGGCGGAAUGAGAGAGAGUGUGAAAAAUUUAGAUUCUAGCACCGUCUAGGAACCCUAAUGAGGGUUAAGUAGAAGACCUUAGAAGUCUUGCAAUCCAACGAUGAGUAAUACGAUACUUGGCAAGAUUAUAACCAUUGCUUCAAUUGUAUAGAAAGCGUGUUUUAAUAACACGAUUUUUGCCAACAUUAAGUAUACCAUUUAUCUUUUGGACUAACCUGCCCAGCAGAAGUAUUAAGUCAGCCCAACAUCAUUGUGCCACAUUUCUUCACGGGGUAACUUUUUUCAAUGUAAAUUGUCAAAGUCAGAGGAACACAAGAAGAUUGAUUAUAGAAUGAUUUUGGAGUCAGUAGAGGGGUAUUUUGGUUAAUUCAUGGUUGUUGAUGCUCUGUAAUCGGCGGCAUGUUUUCGUGGCAAUUUGGAGAAGUUUAUUUAGUGGUUGAGUGCUUAGUCUUUUUCCAAUUAUGGGGACACAAAGUAUUAUAGGUUGCAUUGUGAUUUUGUAAAUAAUUAACCGACUUCAAGUUUGUUAAGAAUAAUGUUUAUUCCUUCGUUCUUAGGAUUAAAUUAUCUUUUAAUGCAGUGAAAUUUGAAGAAUACCAGCUUUAUCUUUUCUUUUUGGGUAAAAGGACUCAAUAUGAUGUUAUUUGCUGUGAUAUAUGUGCUUGAUAGAGUGUUAUGAGAGUUCUUUUUCUAUGAAUUUGGGUCUCUUUUAACUUGUGAGUCCCAGUAGAUUUGGUUAUAUGUUAUUAGUGUAGUUUAUUUUAAAUUUUGAAGUAGUUUAAACCUUUUGUUGUUUAUAGCUUUAUAUUAAAUUUGAGGCAUUGAGGUUUUAAAUUUUACUCUUUGUGGUCCAUUGAAUAAAUAUGACAGAAUAAAUUAUUGCAUCUUGCUUAUUUGAGUUUUGAUUAAAUAAGUUCAAUGCCAUGGGGGCGUUGAAACUGUAGUGUAAUACUAAAUGCCAAAAUAUAUGACAAGUCCGUGUAGUAUGCAUGCAUUUAAGUUUAUGUUUAUUAAAGAAAAUAACCUUGGAUAAAACAUUUUGUGAUGAGAGAAAGAUGGAUGAUAUCCUCUUGAUGCUAUCUACACUGUAAAUGUUAAUGCUUCAUACUUGGAUGAGAUAGUAUGAUAUUUGAUCCAUUUUGUUUACAAGUUGGUGUGUACGUUUUGUUGUAGUUCUUCUAUUUUUUUUUAUGGUGCAGUUGGGCCAUCCCGUAUAUGAUAGAGACCAACAAAUGGAACCAGCUUAAUAUUAUUGAACUUGGAGGAAGACUUACCUUGGCACUGGUAGAAGCAUGUUUAUUUGAUGAUGGGAAUUUGAUCUUAUGGGAAUCAAAUGAUAUUGUAUUUGCAUUUAAAUUUGAAAACUUUCCAGGAUAUGAAGUAUUUUUUUAGUUGAAUAUUAAUUGUUAUACCAACGUGUGCAUAUGAAUAAGUAGGAGAAUCAAUGGUAAACAUUUUUUUGUGUGCGAUGGUUGCUUAAUAUUAUUGGGCUUUCUUGUCGGCUUUGGCCACACUUUCAGUUUUACAAAUUUUAAGCAGAUAAAUUUGUUCACAUACAUUUAAUAUUCCUUAAAAAACAUUCUAUUAAAGUAUCGUCUUUCUUGUGUGAUGAUGUAGAAGCCAACUUAUUGUUUCUAGAUUCUCCAAUUGGCGUUGGAUUUUCAUACUCAAGCAUGAGUGGUGAUUAUGAUAUUCUUGGAGAUGACUUUGCCGGUAUGUCAAACUUUAUGUUAACUCUUAAAUACACCGACACCCCCAAUCAUAAUUUGUCGAUCUAACAUAAAAGUUCAUGAAAAUUGUGCACAUAGUAGGCUUUUCAUAAGAAAUGAGCUGUCCUGUGGGACAUGUUGAAAACUAAAUUUAGAUAAAUAAAUGUACUCUCUCUCUAGCUGUUUAAACUUUUAAAUGUUCAUUUUGUAGCCGAUGAUUCCUAUGUUUUCCUACGCAAGAGGUUCCUUAAGUUUCCAUCAUACACGAUGAGGAAAUUUUAUAUUGCUAAGGAGAAUUAUAAAGGUACAUUGUGUUGUAGUUAGUUUUCUGAUUGGUGUCAAUUACUAGAAUAUUCAUGCUCAUAUAUGUAUGCUGGAUGCUUUUCGACAGGCGGAUAUGUUCCUGAGCUGGCUGAACUCAUUCAUUACGGGAACAAAGAUCCCUCUUUAUUGAUAGAUCUUAAAGGCAUUAUGGUGUAAUUCGGUUCCCAUUUAAUUCAAGGACUGAGUUUCAAGAUUAGUGCCAGGACCCUAAGAUUUUAAAUGGAGCAAAUGAUCACAGACGGACGUUCAAUGCUAACUGAUAAUUUUAUUGCAGCUGGCCAAUUGCAAAACAUGUGACAUAGAGGUACUUGACACUUAUCAGGGACAGACUGUGCUUCUUGAUGAGAGGUGGUAUGUUUGAUUGGAUUUAUGGUGACAAUUCAUUGGCUAAUGAUGCAUAAUAUUAUAACUGGUGCUUUCUUUGUUCUUGGUCUUAUUUUCACAUUCAUUACACGUUCAUUUUGUAGAUGAUAAAUUGAUUGCUAUCUUCUUUAGGCAAUGUUUAAAUAAUUAAUAUAUGCUUAUGUCUAUACAGAUUCUUGGUUGACUCAUUUUUGUUUUGAUCAAACAACCAUGACUCGAGUAGUGUCAUAAAUUUGACUCUUAAUUUACUGGAAAUGUAGAUUAUAAAAAUGUCGAUAUUCGUGCACUAAAAAGCAAAAAUGCUUAAAUGAAUUCUAUCCCUAACAAAGUGAAUGAGGCAAUCUUUUAGGAUUUCUUACUUUCCACUUUUCCAUAAGGAGGUGCCUUUGUUGGAAAUUACAUGACCAGUGAGAGUAACUGGAUAAUGAUGUACUGUAAAAUUGUUUUUAGUGAUUCUAAUGAUGUCAUAUGGCACCCACAAAAUUUUGAAGAUAUAGAUGCUAAUAGUUUAAAUGUCAUAGGAAGAAGGAUCCACCAUAAGUAGAAGUAUUGCUUUAAAACACUGGUGUCAAAUUGAAUAAAAGUUGGUUUAUUGUUUUGAACUUCAUUUGUAUUUAUUGUAUCUUUACAAUACUUCUAGCAAAAUUGUAGGAUGGCGACCUUUUGUUAUUAUUUUUUGUGUUUGUUGCUGAUUUUAGGGUAUUUGCUGAAGCGGAGCAUGGAAAACUAACUUUUCCAGAGAGAAGCACAACCAUUCUAGAGAAGAGUUGCCAGUACUUUUACUACUUUCUUCAGUAGGUUAGAUAAUUACUUUUCCCUCAGUUUCUUUUUUUAAAAUUCUUUUGUUUAAUGAGUAUAUUAAAAUUCUUUAAUUAAGCUAAACUCUAGGCCAUUUGUUGAAAUUUUCAGAAUUUAUAUUUUGAUCCUUUAUUCUUUAUCCUGGACAUUGCCUGGUGGAUCCUUUUCUUCUAAUUGUUUUUUUUUUCCCACUACUUUUGUCUAAUUUUAUUGUAUUUAUCGCAUACAUUUGUAAUUAUAAUUGUUUGAGAAAUAUAAAUAAAAGAUCAAUAUGGCAAAUGAAGUAUAUUGAUGAUAGUUUGAUUUUAGCUAUAUUUACUUGCAUCUAACGAAAUAUAUUUACGAAAUUUUUAAUUUCAUAAUGCUGUUUUAGUAAUUGGACAUUUGUACAUGGAGAUAUAAAUAAUACCUUAAGUAUUGUUGUAUCAUAAUAGUGGUAUACAUGUGGUCUACGAAUUCAAUUUUUACGAGAUAUCGGAUCUAAAAUGUGAUGAUAUUUUUAAUUUAUUUCGUGAAUUAUAACUAUAGAUUUCGGAUUUUUUUGUUGGCUGUAGGGAUGGAGGGAGUUGUAUAUAAGUAAGCACAACGAGAUAGUUGCAAAGGCAUAUUUGGUAAUGAAUAAUGUAGAAAACGCUUUAGCUUAUCAGUCAGUUAAAGUAGGGAAUUAUUUGAAACUGGUUGAAUUCAUGAAGUUGAGGCAAUUUGGAUUCAAAGAUGUACAAGUGUUCUUUGUCAAACCAAAGCUCAAUUUGGUUGGCUUGCACUGCUAAAUCAUAUAGCUUCACCUGCUGGUUAUUUGGUUGGGCUUUUCCUUUAAUGAAGUAUUCACAAAUUGCAUAACUGGGAUGAUGUCUUGAGCUUUUGGCAGUCUUUUUGACAGUGAGUUUUAUGCAUGCAGAUGGUGUACUAUGGUGUGCGUAGAUGGUUCCGUGCUGCAAAUCUUUAACUGCAUAAAGCAGCAUAGCUUGCAAGGAUUCAAUGACUUCCGACGAAAACCUACAGCAACAGCUUGGAAGAGCGUAGGCUAUUAUGCAGCAUACGCAGCUACACAUAAGCUUCGGUUACCUGGAAAAGGGUCGAGGGUCCAAUAGCUUCUGCUAGAAUUUGGCCUAUAUACAAGGUACUAAGGUUUGCCGAUCUCCCUUUCUGUCUGCAUGCAUCAAUCUUCAGGAGUAAAAUGCUUGACUAGGCCAUUAUUUAAGUGGAUUUUGUAGUGUCAGGACUUACAUUAGGACUGCAGUUAACUUCGUGCUUACAUCGGUUUUCAUUAAAAUAUGCAUUUUCACUUACUCAUUGCAGGCAAAUGUUGUUGCAUGAUAUGCAGUAACAUUGAUUACAUAUCUUGUGUUUGAUAGUAAGAUUUUUUUUAACAAAAUUUGCUCAAAUUGGCAUGUACACUCUGCUUGAUAUUGCUGGCUUUUUUUAUUUUGGAGUUAAUUUGAAGGUAUGGAGUAUGAUGACUAAAAUUGUUAGCCCUUACUUGAAUCCAGUUCUUUAAUAUUCAUUUUUCUCAAACUUAUUUUAAGAAUAAUUUUGUAUGUACAAUCAAAAUACUUUCCUAUAUUUUCUUUUCAUUUUUACUUUACUUAUUUUUAAAUCUGUUCAUUUUCUUUUAAACCUACCUCUUUUUACACCAAAAAUUGAUUACAAAAUGCUAGAAAUUCUCCCUCCUUUACCUGGGGAUUUUUAAAAAAUCGUGGACUGCCAUUCGGUAUAGAAACAAUUUUACUCAAUCUGCUUCCUGUCAUUUGAAUCAGAACAAAUCACAAUCUAUGUUUAUCAAUCAGUGAAUAAUGGUAGAAGUUUAUUUUAUACUUCUUGAGUCUCACAAACUUGUGCUUUUGCUUUAAUUUUAGGUUUCUUGUGGUAUAUAUUUGUGAAAGUUUCAGUUUAGUAUAGGCGUGACCAUUAUGCGGUGGCUGAGUCUGUCAAUUGAUGUUUUUCGUUUUGUUAUCUCCUUUAAUUUGUACUGCAAGGGUAUUCUAUAACUUAUCCUUUCAUGUGUUGAAUUCAACCUAAUUGUUUUUUCCAUUAUCUUCUUUAUCUCUGGCUAUCGAUGGGAUCCAAUCACCUUUCUUUCAAGUGUUUUAUCUCAAAUUUAGAUAGAAUUAAUCUAUUUGUACCAAAUAUCUUACCGAAUUGACACGUGGCGCCCCUAUUGGAGGGGCGCAUAUCCAUCCAAUAAGAACGCGACACUUAUCAAUUCGGUCAUUCAUUUGGUAAAUGAUUUGGUACCUAUAGCAUCUCCCAGUUAGAUAAGUGAUAGAACUGCUA
rnacentral:lncRNA from 1 species